AGGUUUCCUUGUAUUAUGAUGAGUUUGAACUACAAACUUUACUCUACAGAGCUCCUGAGGUGAUGUUUGGUGUUCCCUUUGGCCCUGAGAUUGACAUUUGGUCUUUGGGAUGCAUUGUAGCUGAGUUGUAUAUAGGCAAACCUUUAUUUCUGGGAGGAAAUAGGACUAAA